GAUGAACGCUGGCGGCGUGCCUAAUACAUGCAAGUCGAGCGAACGGACGAGAAGCUUGCUUUUCUGAUGUUAGCGGCGGACGGGUGAGUAACACGUGGAUAACCUACCUAUAAGACUGGGAUAACUUCGGGAAACCGGAGCUAAUACCGGAUAAUAUUUUGAACCGCAUGGUUCAAAAGUGAAAGACGGUCUUGCUGUCACUUAUAGAUGGAUCCGCGCUGCAUUAGCUAGUUGGUAAGGUAACGGCUUACCAAGGCAACGAUGCAUAGCCGACCUGAGAGGGUGAUCGGCCACACUGGAACUGAGACACGGUCCAGACUCCUACGGGAGGCAGCAGUAGGGAAUCUUCCGCAAUGGGCGAAAGCCUGACGGAGCAACGCCGCGUGAGUGAUGAAGGUCUUCGGAUCGUAAAACUCUGUUAUUAGGGAAGAACAUAUGUGUAAGUAACUGUGCACAUCUUGACGGUACCUAAUCAGAAAGCCACGGCUAACACGUG
rnacentral:rRNA from 1 species